AUGGUGGACUGGACUAGCGAUAACGAUGAUAGUGAUAAGUUUGAGUGGGAAAGUGAUGGUGAGGCUGAACCCUCAUCAGCUCCGGCCUUCAGGAACUUGGAUGCCGCUGGUCCUUCCACGCUGGAUUCUAAUGGGUGGGCCAACGAGGAAGCUCCACCCACUUCGUUAGUCGAGGGAUAUGUGUUAAUGGGUUUCCCGAAAGAGAUGGUCUUGAAGGGAAUUAAGGAGAUUGGGCACAGUGAUGCAAAUGCGUUGCUGGAACUACUUCUCACGUAUAAGACACUGGGUGAUGACGCUGCAGUGGGUAAUUGCUCUACUUCUGGCUGCUUCCCCCAGAGUGUUGAAGAUGAUGAUGAUUUUGAUUUUGAAAACUGGGAUGGAGACGAUGAUGCUGAUGGGAGAGAGCCCAACCCUGAUAGUUCUGGUGAUGAGGAUUUCCUAAGAGAGAUGUCAGAGAAGGACAACAAGAUCAAGUCCUUAGUAGACAUGGGCUUUCGUGAAGAUGAAGCAAAUAUGGCUAUUACCAGAUGUGGUAUGGAUGCCGCUCUCUCUGUAUUAGUUGAUUCAGUCUAUGCAUCACAGGCUGCAGGAGAUUGUCAUUAUGGGAACUUGUCUGACUAUGAGGUUACUGGUAGCUGGGGAGGGAGAAAGAGAGCAAGAUUGAUGGAAGAGAGCAAGAAAAAGCGGAAGCGGUAUGGAGGUGCAGCACAGCGACGGCCCUUGGAUGGUAGCCAUGAAGAACCAAUGCCUCUCCCAAAUCCAAUGGUUGGAUUUAACCUGCCUAAUGAUAGGCUACGAUCAGUGACCAGACGGCUUCCUCAACAAGCUAUUGGGCCACCUUUCUUCUACUAUGAAAAUGUGGCACUAGCUCCAAAAGGUGUAUGGGCGACAAUUUCAAGAUUCCUGUAUGACAUUGAGCCAGAGUUUGUGGAUUCUAAGCACUUGUGUGCAGCUGCUAGAAAAAGAGGCUACAUCCAUAAUUUGCCAAUUGAGAACAGAUUUCCUCUCCUGCCUCUACCUCCAAAGACUAUAUUUGAGGCUUUUCCUCAUUAUAAGAAGUGGUGGCCUUCUUGGGACCCGAGAAGGCAACUCAAUUGUUUGCAGACAAGCAUGUCAAGUGCAAAAUUGACAGAAAGAAUCCAAUGUGCUCUUGCAAGCUCAGGCAAUCCACCACCUAAAAGUGUUCAAAAGUAUGUCAUGGAUGAGUGCAGAAAAUGGAAUCUUGUCUGGGUUGGGAAGAACAAAGUUGCUCAUUUGGAGCCGGAUGAGGUAGAAUACCUGCUUGGUUUUCCAAGGGACCACACAAGGGGAGUUGGCAAAACAGAGAGGUUCAAAUCUCUUGGGAAUUCGUUCCAAGUAGAUACCGUUGCUUACCACCUGUCAGUGCUGAAGGACAUGUAUCCCAAUGGUGUUAAUGUGCUAUCUUUAUUCACUGGUAUCGGAGGAGGAGAGGUAGCACUUCACAGGCUUGGGAUCCACAUGAGGGCAGUAGUGUCUGUUGAGAUAGGCGAAGUUAAUAGGAGGAUUUUGAGGGGUUGGUGGGAUCAGACUCAAACUGGCACAUUAAUUGAGAUUGCUGACGUGAAAUCUCUUACUGAUGAUAGAAUUGCAACGUUUGUUAGAAGAUUUGGCGGCUUUGACUUGGUGAUUGGGGGUAGCCCAUGUAACAACCUUGCCGGCAGCAACAGGCACCACCGUGAUGGCUUGGAGGGCGAGCAAUCUGCUUUGUUCUACCACUACUUCAGAAUCGUGGAUGCUGUAAAGUCGGCUAUGGGGCGGAUGUAG
rnacentral:rRNA from 1 species